rnacentral:rRNA from 1 species
ACAGGGAUUGCCCCAGUAACGGCGAGUGAAGCGGCAACAGCUCAAAUUUGAAAUCUGGCCCCCUUGCGGGGUCCGAGUUGUAAUUUGAAGAGGAUGCUUCUGGCGAGGCGCCGUCCGAGUUCCCUGGAACGGGACGCCGCAGAGGGUGAGAGCCCCGUACGGUCGGACGCCGAGCCUCUGUGAAGCUCCUUCGACGAGUCGAGUAGUUUGGGAAUGCUGCUCAAAAUGGGAGGUAAACCCCUUCUAAAGCUAAAUACCGGCCAGAGACCGAUAGCGCACAAGUAGAGUGAUCGAAAGAUGAAAAGCACUUUGAAAAGAGAGUUAAAAAGCACGUGAAAUUGUUGAAAGGGAAGCGCUUGCGACCAGACUCGCGCCCGUCGGAUCAGCCGUCGCUCGUCGGCGGCGCACUCCGGCGGGCUCGGGCCAGCAUCGGUUCGCCUCGGGGGGAGAAAGGCGGCGGGAAUGUGGCUCUUCGGAGUGUUAUAGCCCACCGCGUAAUACCCCCGGGCGGACCGAGGACCGCGCGUAUGCAAGGAUGCUGGCGUAAUGGUCGUCAGCGACCCGUCUUGAAACACGGACCAAGGAGUCGUCCUAAUAUGCGAGUGUUCGGGUGUCAAACCCCUGCGCGUAAUGAAAGUGAACGGAGGUGAGAGCUUCGGCGCAUCAUCGACCGAUCCUGAUGUUCUCGGAUGGAUUUGAGUAAGAGCAUAUUGGGCCGGACCCGAAAGAAGGUGAACUAUGCCUGUAUAGGGUAAAGCCAGAGGAAACUCUGGUGGAGGCUCGCAGCGGUUCUGACGUGCAAAUCGAUCGUCAAAUAUGGGCAUGGGG